rnacentral:rRNA from 1 species
UACGGAGGGGACUAGCGUUGUUCGGAAUUACUGGGCGUAAAGCGCACGUAGGCGGAUUUGUAAGUCAGGGGUGAAAGCCCGGGGCUCAACUCAGAGUCUGCCAUAGAAACUGCAGUGCUGGAGUGUGGGAGAGGUGAGUGGAAUUCCCGGUGUAGCGGUGGAAUGCGUAGAUAUCGGGAGGAACACCAGUGGCGAAGGCGGUUGCCUGGGGCUUUGCUGACGCUGAUGCGCGAAAGCGUGGGGAGCGAUCCGG